AGCGAACGCUGGCGGCAGGCCUAACACAUGCAAGUCGAACGGAUCCUUCGGGAUUAGUGGCGGACGGGUGAGUAACACGUGGGAACGUGCCCUUUGGUUCGGAACAACUCAGGGAAACUUGAGCUAAUACCGGAUGUGCCCUUCGGGGGAAAGAUUUAUCGCCAUUGGAGCGGCCCGUGUCUGAUUAGCUAGUUGGUGAGGUAACGGCCCACCAAGGCGACGAUCAGUAGCUGGUCUGAGAGGAUGAUCAGCCACACUGGGACUGAGACACGGCCCAGACUCCUACGGGAGGCAGCAGUGGGGAAUCUUGCGCAAUGGGCGAAAGCCUGACGCAGCCAUGCCGCGUGAAUGAUGAAGGUCUUAGGAUUGUAAAAUUCUUUCAGCGGGGACGAUAAUGACGGUACCCGCAGAAGAAGCUCCGGCUAACUUCGUG
rnacentral:rRNA from 1 species